GUCAAAGUCUUUGCAGUAAUGCAAGGCGGACUGCUCAGUAACACGUAGUCAACUUAACCUAUGGAUGGGUAUAACCUCGGGAAACUGAGAAUAGUCCCCAAUAGAUCAUUUAUCCUGGAAUGGUUGAUGAUUGAAAUGAUUCGUCGCCAUAGGAUAGGACUGCGGCCUAUCAGCUUGUUGGUGAGGUAAAGGCCCACCAAGGCUAUUACAGGUACGGGCUCUGAGAGGAGAAGCCCGGAGAUGGGUACUGAGACAGCUAGCCAGGCCCUAUGGGGCGCAGCAGGCGAGAAAACUUUGCAAUGUGCGAAAGCACGACAAGGUUAAUCCGAGUGAUUUCUGCUAAAGGAACAAUUUGCCAGUCCUAAAAACACUGGUGAAUAAGGGGUGGGCAAGUUCUGGUGACAGCCGCCGCGGUAAAACCAGCACCUCAAGUUGUCAGGAGGCGUCAUUGGGCCUAAAGCAUCCGUAGCCGGCUCUGUUAGUUUUCGGUUAAAUCCAUAUACUCAACAUAUGGGCUGUCGCAAAUACUGCAGAGCUAGGGAAUGGGACGUGUAGACGGUACUUGGUAGGAAGGGGUCCGUUCCUUUGAUCUAUCGGUCGUG
rnacentral:rRNA from 1 species